GAUGAACGCUAGCGGCAGGCCUAACACAUGCAAGUCGAGGGGCAGCACGUCUUCGGAUGGUGGCGACCGGCGCACGGGUGCGUAACGCGUAUGCAACCUACCUCUUACAGUGGGAUAGCCCAGAGAAAUUUGGAUUAAUACCGCAUAGUAUACAGAUUCAGCAUUGGGACUGUAUUAAACAUUUAUGGGUAAGAGAUGGGCAUGCGUUCUAUUAGUUAGUUGGAGUGGUAACGGCACCCCAAGACAGCGAUAGAUAGGGGCCCUGAGAGGGGGAUCCCCCGACACUGGUACUGAGACACGGACCAGACUCCUACGGGAGGCAGCAGUGAGGAAUAUUGGACAAUGGGCGAGAGCCUGAUCCAGCCAUGCCGCGUGUGUGAAGAAGGCC
rnacentral:rRNA from 1 species